CUUAGCACUUAGUUGACUCACUUCAGUCGAAAGCGAUAAACAUGAAAUUCAUUUUUUUUGUCUACCUUCUGAUUCCUACUUUUAGUUCGGUCAUGGGGAAAUCGGAGUAUAAAUGCAGGCUUCCAAGAGGAACGGGGCUUUGCUUGAAACUGAAUCAUACUUUCGCUUACAAUCCAGUUACCAAAAAGUGCAUUAAAUUUGCAUAUGGUGGCUGUGGUGGCAUCGGAGAUCAUUUUGAUUCUAUACAAGCCUGUGAAUCCGCAUGCAAAGGAAAAUAAGUGUACCUGGUUGAACUAAAAUUUACGCAAAAAUAUUUUAUUUGAUUUUAAUUAUACAUUAUCAGAUCCAAAUAUAAAAUCAAAGAAAAAUCA